rnacentral:rRNA from 1 species
UCAAACCUAUUUAUAAUGACGGCAUUUUAUCUUAUUAGAGGAACCUGUCUUAUAAUCGACAACCCACGAUAAUUUUCACUUUUUUUAAAAAUUUAUAUAUCGCCAUCUAAAGAAUUAAUUUUUAAUACUAUUCUAAAUAAUAUAAUAAAAAGUUAGGUCAAGGUGUAAUCCAUAUAAAAGUUAAAUAUGGGUUACACUAAAAACUAUUUAAGAAUUAUAUUUUUAUAAAAAUAUAUGAAAAAGAAUUUAAAAGUAAUAAUAAAAUAAUAAUUCAAUAUG